CCUACGGGAGGCUGCAGUGGGGAAUAUUGGGCAAUGGGCGCAACCCUGACCCAGCAACGCCGCGUGAAGGAAGAAGGCCUUCGGGUUGUAAACUUCUUUUCUCAGGGACGAAGAAAGUGACGGUACCUUAGGAAUAAGCCACGGCUAACUACGUGCCAGCAGCCGCGGUAAUACGUAGGUGGCAAGCGUUAUCCGGAGUUACUGGGUGGAAAGGGCGGGUAGGCGGGAAAGCAAGUCAGAUGUGAAAACCAGGGGCUCAACCUGUGGCCUGCAUUUGAAACUGUUGUUCUUGAGUACUGGAGGGGCAGACGGAAUUCCUAGUGUAGCGGUGAAAUGCGUAGAUAUUAGGAGGAACACCAGUGGCGAAGGCGGUCUGCUGGACAGCAACUGACGCUGAGGCGCGAAAGCGUGGGGAGCAAACAGGAUUAGAUACCCGUGUAGUC
rnacentral:rRNA from 1 species